AAUCCAAUGGACCGUAGUGGUUUAAGACGUCGCCUUUCCGCGGCGAAGAUCCCGAGUUCAAACCUCUGUUGGAUCA